AUAGUGGCCGAUGUAAGGUGUUAGUCUCUUAAAUUAAUUAUGAUUAGUAAAU
rnacentral:tRNA from 1 species